rnacentral:rRNA from 1 species
AUGGAACGCUGGCGGCAGGCCUAACACAUGCAAGUCGGGCGAGAGGCGGACGGGUGAGUAAUGUAUGGGAAUCUGCCUGAUGGCGGGGGAUAACUACUGGAACCGGUAGCUAAUACAGCAUACCAUCAGAUGAACCCAUAUGGGAUUCGCUAGUAGGUGAGGUAAAGGCUCACCUAGGCGACGAUCCCUAGCUGGUCUGAGAGGAUGAUCAGCCACACUGGGACUGAGACACGGUCCAGACUCCUACGGGAGGCAGCAGUGGGGAAUAUUGCACAAUGGGCGCAAGCCUGAGACAGCCAUGCCGCGUGUAUGAAGAAGGCCUUCGGGUUGUAAAGUACUUUCAGUCGGGAGGCGUUACCGACAGAAGAAGCACCGGCUAACUCCGUGCCAGCAGCCGCGGUAAUUC